rnacentral:rRNA from 1 species
CGUUCCUCCGGGGUUUAAUAGGUUUCUUCGUCAACGAAAGCUCUGUGGCGCCCGCCCGAUUACGACCGCUACGUCUUGUAAGGGAUAGCAAGUGAAUCACCGUGCGGCAGGCGACACCGGGCGGCCAGCGUUUACAGCAUUCCUUAAGUUCUCACGGUAUCCGAGCCGCUCAGUGCGGGUGUACAACAAGUAAUUGCCCCAGUUCGGGAGUAAGUUGGCCGGUUUGAACUCCAAAGCCGUGGAUGGGGCCCCCAUAUGACGGUGAGCAUUUGGUUUAAAUGAACGGAACGCGAAAACGUUACGUGCUUGGACAUUCGCACGACCGGUGGUGAAAGCCAUCCUCCUUUCGGGCCUGUGCACAGGUGCUGCAUGGCUGUCGUCAGCUCGUGUCUCGAGAUGUUGGGUUAAGUCCCGCAACGAGCGCAACCCUUGCCCUCUGUUGCUACCGGGUUAUGCCGGGCACUUUGAGGGGACUGCCCCGGUGAACGGGGAGGAAGGUGGGGAUGACGUCAAGUCCUCAUGGCCUUUAUGUCCAGGGCUACACACGUGCUACAAUGGUCAGGACAAUGGGUCGCUCCCUCGUAAGAGGUUGCCAAUCUCAAAAACCUGGCCCUAGUUCGGAUGGUUGGCUGCAACUCGCCCAGCCUGAAGCUGGAAUCGCUAGUAAUCGGAGAUCAGCACGCUCCGGUGAAUACGUUCCCGGGCCUUGUACACACCGCCCGUCACACCACGAAAGCCGUGUGUACCAGAAGUCGCUGGACCAACCCCUUUUGGGGAGGUAGGCGCCUAAGGUAUGCGGGGUAAUUGGGGCGAAGUCGUAACAAGGUAAAUCGAAUUCCCGCGGCC